CUUUCGCGAUAUUUCAUUUUAGGCUCUUUCUCUCGCCUCUUUCUUCUCUACCGCUCUAGUCAUCAAGGAGCCGAAUCGCACCGCAAGAACAUCAAGCACAGCCUCAUCGAGAUUGCCAAGAUCAUGAAGACCAUAUCGAUGGCCAAGGAUCUGAGUGGGACUGUGAAGGAGAAACUCUCAGUUGUGUGCACGAUCAACGACAAGGACCCCAAGGAUUUUCAGCAAGAGAUUACUGACGGUGAUGUUGAGUGAAUGGAUGAGCUUGUUCAUGGCGGUAACUUGAGAAGAACAUCAGGUUUGUGCUCCUACAGCAAAGGGAAGAAGUCCAGAUCUGAUCAUGUUCUUUCUGCACUUUCAAAUAUUAAGAAUGAUCUGGAGUAGGUGCUACUGGUCAUAUUGGGAGACAAGGGAUUUGCAGCUGUUUGCUUCAUUGUUUUUACAUGCAUGCUAAACCAUUCCUUCCAGCCAAAUCGUUUCCUCCAUUAAUUGGCGGUUCAAGGAUUGUAUGCUUGAAGUAAUGAUAAAAGCUGAACAACGGAUUAAGAAAGGUGAUGAGUUUCUUGCAGUCUUCUAUUCCCAAUACACUGCAUUCAUUGGUGAAAUUGGACUACGUGGUGAACUUCACUCGUGAUUGUGUGGGAAUAGUUCAUUAAGAAACGGUCCUGGUAAUCUGGUAUGUGCAGGUGGAAGUUCUUUUGGCGGUUGUCAAUUGAGUUGCAAACACCAUCAGUGCUUUCGCAAUAAUUGAUGUUGGUGCUGGUCAGGUAGUCUUGCUCUUUUAUAUAUUGCAUUUGUUAUGUAUGUAUAUAUAUAUCAUCUGCAUGGCAUGCUCUGGAUUUUCUCUUUGUUCUUUGUAACGUAAGUAUACAUUGAUCUUCCUUUAUAUCAUAUGCAUGGCAUGCUCUAGAUUUUCUCUUUGUUCUUU